GGCUCGCUUUGGUAGCUCGUAUAUAAAAUUGGAAUGAUACAGAGAAGAUUAGUGUUGGUCCCGUGCAAGGAGGACAUGCAAAUUCAAGAAGCAUUCCAUUGACUG
rnacentral:snRNA from 1 species